rnacentral:rRNA from 1 species
AUUGAACGCUGGCGGCAGGCCUAACACAUGCAAGUCGAACGAGUGGCGGACGGGUGAGUAAUGUCUGGGAAACUGCCUGAUGGAGGGGGAUAACUACUGGAAACGGUAGCUAAUACCGCAUACCAUCAGAUGUGCCCAGAUGGGAUUAGCUUGUUGGGGGGGUAACGGCUCACCAAGGCGACGAUCCCUAGCUGGUCUGAGAGGAUGACCAGCCAAACGGGAACGGAGACACGGUCCAGACUCCGACGGGAGGCAGCAGUGGGGAAUAUGGCACAAGGGGCGAAAGCCUGAUACAGCCAUGCCGGGUGAAUGAAGAAGGCUUUCGGGUUGUAAAGGGCUGGCGGCGGGGAGGCGUUACCUUCAGAAGAAGCACCGGCUAACUACGUGCCAGCAGCCGCGGUAAUAC